CCGCUGAGCCUGGGCUCUGCCCGUCCCCUCUGCCUCGUUGCUCCAUCAGGGAAAUGGGUGAGUGGGGUCAGACCUCUCCCCACCCCCACCCAAACAUGACUGUAUUCCUUCAUUUUAACAAUUGUGUGCUGAGCCCUAAUUCUGUCCCAGCCUCAGGACGGUGCAGGGGUGAAUAAGACGGACCCGACCUUCCCUAGAGUCCAGGCAGGUGUGGGGGUGACCGUGCAGGGAUGAUCAUACUUGCUCCCACUCUGACCGGGAUGGUGAAGAGGGCCGAACUGACGAUGCCCCAACGCAGAAGAACGAGCCCCCAGACUCUCUGACUGACAUCCGUGCUCAUGGCAAGGACUCAGAGAGGGCCAGGAGCGAGCUGUGGAGGCCAGGGGCAUCAAAGCUGGACACCCAGCCCACGCCCUCUCCCGGCCACGGCCUCCUGCCCAUGCCCUGCCCCCCCGCCCCCUGUCCCCGCAGCUCCCCCAACACCACACAAGGCAGGAAGCCCGUGGCACUCGAUCUUUUAUUUUCUUAAACUGUACACAGAUGUAAAAUACUUUAACAGCAAGUCUAUGGGAAAAUUGUUUGGUUUUAAAUUAUUAUGAAACAGAACCUAAGGGGAGCUUUAUUAAAUAAACAUAAAGGUGGGGAUUUAAGGACGCACACCUGCAUUCUACCAUAGUCAUUUUUUUUUCUGUACCUUCUGGGUGUGUAAAGAUAGAAAAGACACAUCAAACUGAAUAAACAAAAUCCAUUUAUACCCUGAAACAUUGGCAGGCCACUCAAGGGAUUGUUCAGAACGUCUACCUCAUAGAAGAUGGCCUCACCAUCUAAUAAAAAUUAAAACUGAUCUGUUGGCCUCUUUGGUUCCAAAAUUAUGUAUAAUACAUUUAACUGUAUUUUUUUUUUUUGCUGCUAUAAAAAUAACUUCUUUUUUCAAAUGGCAGUUUCUGACUAAUCAUGCAACUAAAUCAGUGCAAACAUUAAAAGCAAUCAU